rnacentral:rRNA from 1 species
AGUGAACGCUGGCGGUAGGCCUAACACAUGCCAGUCGAACGGCAGCACAGUAAGAGCUUGCUCUUACGGGUGGCGAGUGGCGGACGGGUGAGGAAUACAUCGGAAUCUACUUUUUCGUGGGGGAUAACGUAGGGAAACUUACGCUAAUACCGCAUACGACCUACGGGUGAAAGCAGGGGAUCUUCGGACCUUGCGCGAUUGAAUGAGCCGAUGUCGGAUUAGCUAGUUGGCGGGGUAAAGGCCCACCAAGGCGACGAUCCGUAGCUGGUCUGAGAGGAUGAUCAGCCACACUGGAACUGAGACACGGUCCAGACUCCUACGGGAGGCAGCAGUGGGGAAUAUUGGACUAUGGGCGCAAGCCUGAUCCAGCCAUACCGCGUGGGUGAAGAAGGCCUUCGGGUUGUAAAGCCCUUUUGUUGGGAAAGAAAAGCAGCAGGUUAAUACCCCGCUGUUCUGACGGUACCCAAAGAAUAAGCACCGGCUAACUUCGUG